UGGGGACAUAUGGAUAUCAGGGGAACACUGGCAGUGUCCCCAAAGGAGUGAAUCCUUACUCUAUGAAAGCAGCAGGUCUAUGGGGCAGCAGAUACCCUACAAUGAAUUACAAUGAUAGGACCAACUCAAAGCCUCCAAGCCAUGGGCCUGGACUGCUUCCUAGACAGCUCUCUGGCUUGCUCCCUCCUUCACACUUUGACCUCAUGGCACCAAUGGUUGUGCCACCUGACACUCUACCCUACUGAGGCCAUUUGCCCAGAGUGGAUUUGCCAUACAU